rnacentral:sRNA from 1 species
CUUCUUUCUGACCUCUGUGGGACAGUAAUGAGCACAAGUGAUGUGGAAAAAUCAUUUGAUAAAUUGUUGAAAGAUCUACCUGAAUUAGCAUUGGAUACUCCUAGAGCACCACAGUUGGUGGGCCAGUUUAUUGCUAGAGCUGUUGGAGAUGGAAUUUUAUGUAAUACCUAUAUUGAUAGUUACAAAGGAACUGUAGAUUGUGUGCAGGCUAGAGCUGCUCUGGAUAAGGCUACCGUGCUUCUGAGUAUGUCUAAAGGUGGAAAGCGUAAAGAUAGUGUGUGGGGCUCUGGAGGUGGUCAGCAGUCUGUCAAUCACCUUGUUAAAGAGAUUGAUAUGCUGCUGAAAGAAUAUUUACUCUCUGGAGACAUAUCUGAAGCUGAACAUUGCCUUAAGGAACUGGAAGUACCUCAUUUUCACCAUGAGCUUGUAUAUGAAGGUUAUGAGAGAAUUUACAAUGAAAUUCCGGACAUUAAUCUGGAUGUCCCACAUUCAUACUCUGUGCUGGAGCGGUUUGUAGAAGAAUGUUUUCAG